rnacentral:rRNA from 1 species
AAUUUUUGACAAUGGGCGCAAGCUUGAUCCAGCAAUGCCGCGUGAGUGAAGAAGGCCUUCGGGCUUUAAAGCUCUUUCGGUCGGAAAGAAAUCGCGCAGGCUAAUACCCUGCGAGGAUGACGGUACCGUCAUAAGAAGCACAGGAUAACUACGUGCCUGCAGACGAGGUAAUACGUAGGGUGCGAGCGUUAAACGGAAUUACUGGGCGUAAAGCGUGCGCAGGCGGUUGAUUAAGACAGGCGUGAAAUCCCCGGGCUUAACCUGGGAACUGCGCUUGUGACUGGUCAGCUAGAGUACGGCAGAGGGGGGUGGAAUUCCACGUGUAGCAGUGAAAUGCGUAGAGAUGUGGAGGAACACCGAUGGCGAAGGCAGCCCCCUGGGCCGAUACUGACGCUCAUGCAUGAAAGCGUGGGUAGCAAACAGG